rnacentral:lncRNA from 1 species
UCAUACAUGAAACCCUUCUCAUUUUGGGCAAGCUUGGCUUUUUAUACCAAAGAAUUUUUUCUUCCACUUCUUGUCCCCCCAGGCUUGCAUAUAAAAGGAGAUAAACUCCUUAGUUUCAAAUACUCCAAGAUACACAACCCAUCCGAGAGAAAAAAGAGAAAGGGUGGGAGAUAAAGAAAGCCCAAGAAAGCCAAGAGAAAAAAAUAGAGAAAAAAUAAUUAAAUAAUUGAGUGUGUAAUAUGAGUGUUUACUCAAAUUAAGAUAUUUUUGUAUUCUCUCAGUUUAUUAUAGUAAAUUUUUUAGAUAUCGUCCCGUGAUUUUUACCUCUUAAUUUUAGAGGGG